UGGGCAUCAAGAAGAAUGAACUACUGGUAAGCAGCUGUUGCUUGGGAACCCUUGCUACUCUUCAUUCUUCUCACAUAACCUAACCAGCUGUGGUGCAUUUGUGAGACCACCAUUGCCUCAAUGCAGGUGACCUGACUGCUUUUCCAAGGGUUCAUUGUUGGGAAUCUCCUCCUGCCAUGUGCUGAAAUUGAAUGUGCAAGGGAUGAUCAGAAGAUUUGGAAAUGAUCUGUUCGAGUCUCAGCAGAGCUGUUUAAAUUGGUCGUAAUAGUGAA